UGGGGAAUGGUGCAAUGGUAGCACGCCUGACUCUGGAUCAGGUAAUCGGGGUUCGAGUCCCUGUUCCCCAGCCA
rnacentral:tRNA from 1 species